UACGAAGGGGGCUAGCGUUGCUCGGAAUCACUGGGCGUAAAGCGCACGUAGGCGGAUCGCUAAGUCAGGGGUGAAAUCCUGGAGCUCAACUCCAGAACUGCCUUUGAUACUGGCAAUCUCGAGUCCGGGAGAGGUGAGUGGAACUGCGAGUGUAGAGGUGAAAUUCGUAGAUAUUCGCAAGAACACCAGUGGCGAAGGCGGCUCACUGGCCCGGUACUGACGCUGAGGUGCGAAAGCGUGGGGAGCAA
rnacentral:rRNA from 1 species